UUAAAACUAUCCAUAAAUGGUCCUGAGCAGAGAUGAACUGAAUUAAUAAAACUAUAACCACCAAAACCUUCAUGUUUGAUGCAGAAAGUUUGUGUAAGAAAAUGCUAAGUGAGUGAAGAAAAGAUUGCGUAACAGAAUGCUUAGCAGAAGUGUGUAAGAGAAUGCAAGAAAAGAUUGUGUGAAAGGUUUCAUUCAUCUUUCCAUUUAUAUAACUAUCUGCAAACUAUAUAAUGAAUUCACCCUCUUUGCACGUAUGUCCUAAUAUAUUUAAGUCCAUUUUGCAUGACUCAACCACUUAUAACUGACUCAACUGCUAAAUAUUUAUUUAAUUAUAACUCAGUAUAACUCAAUUUGCGUGACUCAACCACUAAUAACUUUAUUUAAUUAUAACUUAAUUUUGCAUGACUCAACCAAUCAAUUUUAAUGUGAGAUAAAAGAAUGAAUUAAAUAACUAUAAUACAAAGACGCUAAGAAAGAAUAGUGGAAAACAAAAAGAAGCUUUUAAGUAUAGCUAUCCCUAUUACAAACAAAACGAAGCUUUUAAGCAUAGCUAUCCCUAUUUACAACUUCUUUACUUCCCUGACGGCUCAACCACCACAAAAAGUCAGUAUAAGAAACCAUCUCAACACAGCUUCACACCACAAAACACAUUCAACACAUCCAGAUAAGCACUAAACACUACUAAAGAACUACUCUGUUUCAAGAGUAUUUCUAAAAACAGAGUAUUUCUCUAGUAGUGUUUGGGUGCUAUCUGGAUAUUUCGUUGGGACUGUGAAUCUGCAUUGUUUUUAAAUUGAUUCGGAUUAAUUGAGUUGGUUAUAAGCGUAUUGGGUGAGAGUUGUUUUCUGAUGUGAUUGUAUUUUAGAUGAUUUGUGCACAAAUUGUGUCGAAAGAGAAGCAUAGCAAAAGAAACCUAAAAAAUGGUGCUUUCUGAAAACAAAACCCUCUCGGAAUGAGAGAAUUUUUUUACUUUUUUGAAAACCAACUAUUUUAGGAAAUCCAUAAAAAAAAACAUAAACAAUCCUAGUAUCUCAUCUAACAGAAAACAAUCUACUGAAAAGGUAAUCCACCCUUGUUUUCUUGUUGAAUUAGCAGCCCUACAUAUGGAACUGAAACUCGCUUGCCUCCUCCAUUCUCGAAUUGUUUUGUUUUGUUUUGCUUUCCGAGGGCUCGAUUAGAGGCGUCUCCGCCUCCGCUCUGUCGCCAUUCCUAUUCCAUUUGGUAAUCUCGUCUUCCUAUAAACCUUCUCUUUCAAUACUGUUUUCAACCCACAAAUGAGAAGAAUUCGUUUUGCAUGUCUCUCGCUCUUAAAUCUCCAAACUCCUUUCUUUGCCAAAAUAGCCCAAUUCCCACGACUUUAUUUAGGGUUGCUCGCCUGCCCAUCAAUCCCCUUUUUGUGGUUGCCGCAUUUUGCUCGAAUACAAAAGCAUCUGAUUCCGGUUUUGUCACGACCCGGUACUCUCCUCGAGUCCGUGACAACCGCCGCGGUACCCCGAUAGACACUCAUUUCCCGGAAUGCCAACCGGGACCCGGCAAGGCUUAAUAUCAGUAUCUCAUUUCCCCUGUGAGUAACCGUUGCCGAAAAUCAUGUUCUAGAAGAUUUUAAGCUGUUUCCAACUCAAAACAAAUAAAAUAAUAAUUUUCGUCUCAUAGGGGUAUUUUAGUCAUUUUUCUUCAAAAAUUUCGAAAUCGGCUAAAAUGUAAUAUACGAGUACAAAACAUAUAAUUCAUAAUCAAAAGUGAGUUUUAAAGUCUAAAAUCUUCAUUUAAAAUGAAAUUUCGAUUAUUUGGAUAUAAUAAGAAAAUAAAAGAAAUGUUAAGUAAAAUAUUCUAUUUUCUUAUAAAAUAAUAUUUUUAGAGUUAUACGUAAAUAAUUUUUGUAGCGUAAAAGUUAAAUAAAUUCAUACAUACUGUAAUACAGUAAGCCAAAGUAUUUAAUUUAAUUUACAAUAAUAAGUGGGCCCCUGAAUAAAUAAAAGUAAAGAGGACUAUAAACCUACAGUUUGAAGAAUGCAAACCCAACGGUAAUCCUCGAUGAGAUCAGCUAUCUACAGUCUAAUCUGAGCCUAAAAUGGAGGGAAAGGAGGGUGGUGAGAUUAUAAAAUCCCAAUGAGUAAACAGACAUCAUCAUAAACAUCUAGAGUUGAGUACAUGAAGACAAUAAAGUAAAUCAUCGUAAAGUGGGUCACAGUAUUAGAAUACAUUUCAUUCAAAAUACGUGAAGAGGCUUAUGAAUCUCAUAAAAACUAAGCUUGUGUCAUAAAUCCAUUCUCAGGGAUACCUUGGCCGAGGCAUCCUACCGAGACUGCCAAGGCUGUUAAAAAUUCACAUUUUGCAUAAAUCAUAUUUUUGUUUUGAAACAUAGCCGUUCUUUGGCGUUGGCUGAGUUCCCCCCUCACGUGGUGAUUUGGAGUGAAGUGAACCCUAAGCUUUACCCUAGGAGAUACCCUACGCGCCUCUCCGUUUGAGGUAAGAAUAUAAUGGGGUUUACUGUGCCCCUCUAAAAAGCUGAUCCACAGAAACUCCUUACUGUAGUGAUUAAUUAAUAUAUAAUCCACCAUAUAAUAAAAUUUUGACAGCAUGACAGGGCUAAUGAAAUACUAUCUAGCCUGCACGGGUAAAAUAAAACAAUUCAUACAAUUCAUAAAACACAGCCUAGCUAGUCAUGCCAACACAAUAACAAUAUAACAUAAGCCAUCAAUUUAAACAAUCAAAUUGCCACAAUUAACAGUCUCCGUGUACUCUAUUUUUUAAAAUCAUUAUUAAUUUCAAAACAAUUUAUAAACUAAUUUCAUUGGAACACCUUUAUUCAUAAAACAUAAAAAUUUACCUUUUUAAAUCUAUUUUUCCAUAGAAUUCAUGAAAUCAUCUAAAAACCACCCUAGAUAAUUAAAAUGACAGUAAGUUUACUCACAAUGUCUAGAAUGCAGACUUUCGAAGUACUUUGUCUAUUGGUCCUCGGAUGCAAUUUCCUUGCCUUUAUCGAAUGACUCACCACCUUGACACAGUACAAAAUCGAGAAAUUCACCACAUUGAUACUAAAUCGAAAUUAAACUAAUUUAGACUACUAAUGCAUGAUAUGGAAUGCAAAAAUAUCCGAAUAGUCGUUUAAAUACGGUAUUCGACCUAAUUCGCACUAUUCUCGAUGUAAUUGGCUAAAACCUCCAAUUUAACUCCAAAUCGAUUUCUUUCACUUUCUACACUCCAAUUAUACUUAAAAUACCUCAAUGACUGUGAAUAUAAUUCAAUUUAUCAAUCCAAACCAUAAAUCACACAUGUCUAUACAUUAGGUAAAAAUUCAGAUUUUCAUGCCAAAAUUUCCCAUUAAAUUUCUAGCCUCACCAAUCAUUAAAUACCACCAAAAUAUCAUGAAAUAUCAUCAAUUUCAGCCUCAAUAUCCUCCCUAGAAAAUUCGGCCUCUUGUGGGUUUGUGAAGAACAAAGUGAUUUCUUGCUAGAUUUUCAUACUUUCCAUUACUAAACAACCAAAAACACUUAAUUAACUUGAAAUCUAGCAAAAUCAAUGCUCAAAACCUCUCCUCUCAAAUUUGGCCAGCAUGGGUUCAUCAUGAAAACUUGAGUUCUAAGCAUGAAAAAUGAAAAAGAAAGCAUGGGUAGUGUAAAUCACAAGAUAAAAUCACAAAAUUUUACCUUUAUUAGCUUAAUUUCUUGAAAUCCCACACUUUUUCUUCAAUUUUCCCACCUAGGUUUUGUUCUUUCUUUGUUCUUCUUCACUUCAUGCUUUGGCCAG
rnacentral:lncRNA from 1 species